rnacentral:lncRNA from 1 species
UCAGCCUCUCAAAGUGCUGGGAUUACAGGCAUGAGCCACGGUGCCUGGGCUGACAAAUAUUUAUUAUUGAGUUUGUGGAACCCAGAAUGAUCUAGGGCCUCAGUGGCCACUGAACCCUGGGGCACACUUGAACAAAAAUAUGGGCUUCUCAGCCACUAUGCCUUGACAUCCUCUCUAAUCAGAAGUUUGUGUAAUAAGUGCAAAAGACAAUAUUCACAGUGACAAUGAUACUGUGAACUGCCAUAGGGAGAGUAGACAUGACUGUGGUGACAAUGCAGCGGCAGCAGGACCCUGUCCUCUCAUAAGUGGGCAUCCUUUCCCCAUGUGAACACCACAUAGCAGAAACGCCCAUCUUCCAAAGCCCUUUUAUCAUGUUAUGAAUUAUUUACACUUCCAUAUAUUUCAGUUAAAGAGUGGUAAUCAGAUCUGUAUGGAUGCCACUUGGGUCAUUUGUCAUUUCACUUGAAGGCAAAGAAAUGUUUUUAACUGGUAAGUACAACCUUAUCAUAAAAGUCUAUUUUCUGUAAGAAAUACUGAAAAUAUAUUAAAGACCUCCCUUAGUGCCCUUCAGGACACAUAAGAAUCCUAAUAUACCAGGUUGGGAACCAUUGCUAUAGGAUUUGAAAGGAAUAGUAAAUAGUAUUAUCUGAAAGUGAAGAGGAAGAAGAGAUUCUACUUAAAAAUAUUUGUUAAAUGACUGAAAGAAAUAAAUCUAUGAAGUCGUUUAGAACAUGGUCCUUUAGGGAAAGACCUGCCUGCUGUAGAUUCCAUUCACAUUUUAUACGUUUGUAAUGCCUUACAAAGCUAGUCUUUGCACUUAAAGCUACUGCUAACUGAGCAAUAGAAUCACACCUCAUAAGGCUUAAACUGUGUAUUUAAAGGUUUUGAUAGGGGAUCCAGAAAUCUGAGUGAAACCCUGGGUUCUGCAGGUACACAUGGCUCAUGUAUAAGGCAUUUGAAGGGCUUGUGGCCUUGAUGGGGAACACUGUCAACUCUGAUCCUGUUUGUCUGAGGUUACUUGGGGUACAAGAUGAAGACAGAAGGGCGUGCCUCCCUUCUGGAACCAUCACGGCCAGCAGCCGCAUGUUGGGCAGCUGCUGAUACUCAGGGUGCCCAGGCGGGAGAUGGUGAGAGGCCAGCCCUAGCCAAAUUCCUUGCUGCUGCCAGAGGAAGCAGUCUUGCCAUGUGUGUCCACAGGGAUAAGAUUAGCUGCCGAGGUGGAGCUGAUAUCUGAGCGAGGCUCUCGAGGACACAUUCUGGAUAGAUCUCCAUAUGGGAGUUGGAUGACUGCCACCAGCCAGUCUUGGCAGUCCCCAGAAUUCUUCUGAAGUGGACAGUGGAAGAAGUGAAACAUUUGCCUGGCAGCUGGCAUCAAUGCAGUCUCUCUCUGGACAUGCAGAAGAAAAGGUUCAAAAGGAACUGAACCCAAACCAGUCUUUAUUUGAUUUUAGAUGGAAUUAAAACAUUUUUGUGGGUCUCGACAAGUAUUGCCAGCACUGCACCUGCCACCCUGAUAGAACUACUACUGCAGGAUUAUACCAGGAAAGCCAAGAGAAUCCACAGACCCUCUGAAGGAAGUGGAUAGCUCCUGCAGGACCCAGGAGAC